CAAUAGUCUUUUGGAACGUGGACUCAUAAUAAACUCAAUUCGCAAACGAACUCUCACUGCGCCUUUUCUAUUUCCAUUCGCUUCAGUCUAAAACCUCACCCAAAACCACUGUUAUGAACGGUGGCGGAGGUGACGCGCCGUCGAUGCAGCCGGCGGCGAAUGGUGGAGAGUUUCUGCUCUCUUUGCUUCAAAGGCCUAAGCAUCAGCUCCAAACACCAUCACCACCACCACCUUCAUCCCAGCCUCAAUUCCCCAUUCCCAUCUCAAUUACUCCGCCACCUGGACAACAAUAUCUACAGCAGCAGCACCAACAGCAACAACCUCUCGCCGUCGAUCCUGCCGUUGCAGCUGUGGGCCCUAGCAUCCCUUUUGUGCCGCCUCUUUGGCAAUCAAACGGCCGUGAUGUUCUCACUCCUUCUUGGCCCCUCAAUCUUUCUUCUCCUCCUCUACUUCCUGGUUUCCUCGGGUUCCCCCAAAAUCCCUGGCCUUCUCCUGGAAGCCAAUUCCAAGGAAAUCAGCAAGGAGUCGUCGGUGAUGAUGUUCAGAGAUUAGGGUUUUCAAGUGCCGAGGUCAGAGCUAAUAAUACAAUUCAUAAUCUUGUACAUCACAAGCAGCAACUGGAGCAAAAGCUACAGUUUGGCUCGUUUCGCAGUGAUAUCCAAACCGCCGAUGGUUUAUUAGAUGCAAAUUCAAAGCUCAGCGCAGCAAAGGAGCUGGAAGUAGGAUUGGGGAUCAGAAACUUAAACGGAUUGGAAAGGAAUCCAAAAUUUGAACCACAAUUGAACUCGAAUUUAAGAACUUUCGAUUUGCGCGAGCAGGAUUCAAGAGCAGGCGGCGUUUGGGGAAAGCAACCACAUGGAGGGAGUUACAGGUCGCAGGAAACUCGAAUGCCACCUCCAGGGUUUUCAAAUAAACCAAGGGGAGGAGGAGGAG
rnacentral:misc_RNA from 1 species